rfam:Trichobilharzia regenti genome assembly, scaffold: TRE_scaffold0015670
GUACUGUUGAAAAGUCCCAAACUAGGACGAAACAGCUGUCCAGUAC